GUAGGUGGCAAGCGUUGUCCGGAAUUAUUGGGCGUAAAGCGCGCGCAGGCGGUUCUUUAAGUCUGAUGUGAAAGCCCACGGGCUCAAACGUGGAGGGUCAUUGGAAACUGGAGAACUUGAGUACAGAAGAGGAAAGCGGAAUUCCACGUGUAGCGGUGAAAUGCGUAGAGAUGUGGAGGAACACCAGUGGCGAAGGCGGCUUUCUGGUCUGUAACUGACGCUGAGGCGCGAAAGCGUGGGGAGCAAACAGGAUUAGAUACCCUGGUAGUCCACGCCGUAAACGAUGAGUGCUAAGUGUUAGGGGGUUUCCGCCCCUUAGUGCUGCGGCUAACGCAUUAAGCACUCCGCCUGGGGAGUACGGCCGCAAAGGCUG
rnacentral:rRNA from 1 species